UAUAUUGCCGCAAGUCACGAGUUGUGAGUCCUGUUAGGAUGGAGUGUGUCAUUUGCAUCACAUCACAUUGAUAAAUAUGUCUAGGGGCUGAUAAGCCGGUAGCGCAUCUAAUUUAUUUAAUUUUGAUACUAUCUUAUAUCUUGUCCGGUUGCUACAUUCAGUUUUAGUGAAAAAAAAUGGACUUUUUUCUUUUUCUGUCUUUGAGGGGAGGUUGACAGGAAGGGGGUUGACAGGAAGGGUCCUUGCUAAAAGGGGAGUCCUGGUAUUGAGGUCAGUUGUGGGUGUUUAUUUGGGGGCAGAUGCUGUCGCUGGGGGUUUGUGACACUUCCACCUGUGAACCGACCCUGGUUUCCUGGUGACUGGAGUGUAAGUGAUUAUGUCUUCGUUUCUACGAUCACUAUAAGAAUAGUAGAAUUGUCCUAUCCAGGGAAUUCCGCAGAUGUUCAUGUUCCAGUUAAUAGAGGUUUGCUUUGAACUGGUGCCUUCGGGAGAAGCUUUCCAGAAGGAAGGAGUUAUGUGCAGUCUUUUGCCUUGCAGGCAUUACUAGAUAAUUGUGGUGAAGGGAGACUGUAUCUGAGCCAGUGUUGCUGCCUGUCAUGGCUAAUAAAUGACGAUAAGGAAACCAUCUUUCACUGAACCGUUGGUAGAAGGACUACAUUUAAAAGGCAAAAUUUGUGAGUGAAAUGAUAGGAACUCCAUUUCCCUGACACAUUUUGUGCUUUCUUCCCUUUUACUCUUUUAGCAGUCUGUCCUUAAAGACUUCUGAAGCCUAACAAGACCCAGCAGUGAAAGUGAUCUAAUAUAUUAGCCAUCUUUUCCUAAAUUAAAAAUGAAGCAAAAUAAGAGAACAAGCAUACAAGCUGAGCUCAUGAAUACAAAUGGAGGUUUGCAAGCCCGGUGAGCUGCAGUUCCUGUGGCCCUGGUGUAAUUUUUGAUCUUCCAAUGUCUGUAUCUACCUGAGGAUUAAAAAUAUUUAGGUUGUUGCAAAAGGGCCUGAGGAAUGCAGGGAGGGAGUUUUCUCAUUGGCGAGGCUGAUAAGAAGUUUUAAUAUUUAUAGUUCACUUGUUUUUGUUGUUGUUAAAGUAAAGCCACUCUCAAAAUGGUAGUUUCUACAAAUCAUUAGCCAGGAGGCCUGUCUAAAGCUCCAGGGAAGGACCAGAACUCAAGGUGGGGGUGCUUUGCAAGCUCUCUUGUCAGGGAACCGUGAUGACUAGAGUUAUGGAUUACCGGCUGCAGAGGUGUCAGCAAAAUAACCCUGGGUCCAGGAGUCACGUUUAGAGCAGGGUGCCCCAGAAUUCUUCUGGAGAUACCUUUAGCUAGCUCGACUUUUAUUUCCGAACUGUUGGAAGAAUCUAAAGCCCUUUCAUCGUGAGGGUAUAUGAAUCUCAAAUAGUUACUGAGUACCUACCACGUAUUGGGUUCUCUCAUGGCUCUUGGGUGAGAGUUAGAACAGACUGGAUAGCUAGAUAUUAGACAAGUUCCUUAGAUGAAGCCCAAAUUUGCCACCCACAUCCCUGAGCCACGUAGGCGCCACCUGCACUUUAUUUUCUCUGUGAUUGGGUUGUCUAUUAUUUUGUGUCUGUAUCCGUUGGAGUGAGACCCUGGGAAGAGGUCAGGGACCAGACAUGAAGUUCACAGGAGCUGGGUUCUUACCCUGAUUCCAAGGCCGAAGACUUUAAAAAAUUCUACAAGUCCUGGCCGGGUGUGGUGGCUUGCGCUUGUAAUCCCAGCACUUUGGGAGGCCGAGGUAGGUGGGUCACCUGAGGUCGGGAGUUUGUGACCAGCCUGACCAACAUGGAGAAAACCUGUCUCUACUAAAAACACAAAAUUAGCCAGGCGUGGUGGCGCAUGCCUGUAAUCCCAGCUACUCAGGAGGCUGAGGCAGGAGAAUUGCUUGAACCUGGGAGGUGGAGGUUGCGGUGAGCCGAGAUCGCGCCAUUGCACUCCAGCCUGAGCAACAAGAGCGAAACUCCGUCUCAAAAAAAAAAAAAAAAAUUCUACAAGUCCUUCAUUAAAUUAAAAUGAGUUCAGUAUUUCCUAAGAAAAUCAGGGGAAGAAGGGUUCUCUGCUGAUGAAAGAAAAGCAUACCGUCUGCUCACCGCUCGGGUAUGGAGCCCAAGGGUCUCAGGCCUGGGGCCCGAAGAAAGGUAUUGCCCUUAUUUUUGGUAGCCAACUGCCAAAUCUCUUCUCUGGAGCCCCACUUUACAGCUUCGCUUGCCUUGCCAAUCUUAGCCAUUUUUAAGAUCAGUGGUAUUAAUUACACACGUGUUGUGCAGCCAUCACCACCAUCCAUCUCCAGAGCUCUGCGUCUUGCAAAACUGAAACUCCACACCCAUUACACAGUAACUUGGUCUUCCCCCUUCCCAGAAAUGACAUCCACCAUUCUACUUUAUGAAUUUCACCACUCUCAGUACCUCAUAUAAGUGGAAUCAUACAGAAUUUUCUCUUUUUGACUGGCUACUUAGCAUCAUGUCUUCAAGGUACAUCCAAGUUAUAGCCUGUGUCAGGAUUUCCUUCCGUCUGAAGUCUGAAGAAUUGCCCAUUGUGUUCACAUACCGCCUUUUGUUUAGCCAUUCACGCGCCAGUGGACACUUGGGCCACUUCCGUCUUCUGCAGCCAUCCUUUCCCAAAUGUGCAGUGUGCCUCUCCAACCAGGACCCGUCUGCCUCAGCCACCCAGCGGCCUUCCUCCCUGCACCAGUCACCUACCUUGAAGGAUUUUUCUGUUUUAAAAAUCAAUAUUUUUUUCUUUCUUUUUUUUGAAACAGGGUCUCACUCACUCUGUCGCUCAGGCUAGAGGGCAGUGGCGUCAUCAUAUCUCGCUGCAGCCUCAACCUCCUGGGCUCAAGUAAUCCUCCCACCUCAGCCUCCCAAGCAGCAGGAACCAUGGACAUGCAACCCCACACUAAUUCCCUGGCCAAUUGUUAUUUAUUUUUUAUUUUUUGUAGAGACGGGGUCUCACUAUGUUGCCCAAGCUGGUCUCAAACUCCUGGGCUCAUGGGAUCCUCCUGCUUUGGCCUCCCAAAGCGCUGGGAUUGCAGGCGUGAGCCACCUUGCAUGGCCUAAGCCCAGCAUUUCUAAGAGCCUCUUCCUGUGCUCCCUUUGACCAUCCACAGUUUCCAUGCAUCUUUCGACACUGAGUUGGAUCCUGCCUUCUCUAUAAAGUCUCCCCAGACCUUCCUGAGCUUGAAGUGACUUUUUCUUCUUUGAAAUCCUGCAGCAGUUAUUGUCAGCAACCAUCUUUCUGGCAAUGAAUCAGUUACAGCAUUCUUAUAUAUGGGUUUGAAUGAGGAAUUUGGCAAUAACAGUCACUCCUGGCAGAACACCCAGAGAUGAUGUUUCCACUGAAACCCAUCUGAUUAGAGGAUUUCUUCACCUUUCCAGGUCUUAAAUCACUGUUGAAUGCUUUCUGUUGUAGGAGUUCUUUAUGUUAACUUUUGUUAAUGAAAACUGUUAGAAACUUAAACAUGCCAUUUGGUCCAGGUUUUAAAUGGGCAUUCUGUUCUGGAAUUGCCUCCUCUGUGGGGGUGGGCAUGGUGUGCAGCCUUUUGAUUUAUUCUGCCUUUCCCCAACCUCUGAAUAAGUAGGCAUUAGUAAUGCAUGUAGCUGUAAGUAACAGGCCCCUGACUCUCAGUGACUAAACAAGUAGCAUAUUUUUCCUCACAUAAUAGGUACGGUGGUAAGCAUUUGCUGGAGUUGGGUCAGCUGCUCCAUGAUGUCUGCAAAGAUCUAGGCUUUUUUCUUUAUUUGUAUCUUUUGCUUUAUGUCUUCAGGCUUGUUUUGUCAAAAACUUCAGGCAUCCCAUUCACACUAAAUGCAAGAAGGAGAUGGAUGGUACAGUGGGGAUGAGGCUUCUCUGCUCUUGGCUAUCUCUUUGAUUAGAAAAGCAGAAACUUUCUCAGAAGCCCCAGCAAAUAUUCUCUUCCAUCCCUUUGGCCAUAGCCAGUCACAUGGCCACCCCUAGCUGCAAGGGAGGCUGACAGGGUCCUUGGCAUUCCACAUUCGAUAGAGGAGGCUGCAGGGGAGAAGGAGGCUAGUAACUGCUGUCAUUCAUGCUGUUGGCCACAACAUACCCCUUGCUUGGAAAAUUGUAUAGCAGUUUAAUCGUGUAAUUUCUACUCAGUGGCUCUUCGCAUCCUCGGUGUUAAAGUUGUUGUUGAGUUGAAAAAUGAUACUUGCUUCAUAGGAAUUUUGUGACCUUGACAUUGACUUUCAAACUCCUGUGCAGGAAAUCUUAGUUUCUUAACUGGUCACAGCUAUGAAAGAGUAAUAUAUAUAUACAUAUGCACGCAUACCACUUGAGGGUCAGUUACAACGUGGUCUCUGGCCCCUAAAUACUCAGCAUUUGUUUCCUGAGAAUAGGGACAUUUUCAUAUCCAGUAUAGUUAAGUAUAGUUAUUGACAAUAAUAUGUUUGACAUUGUUGGAAUAUUUUAAUUUAUUAUUCCUAUCCCAAUUUUGUCAGUUGACCCAAUGCGUUUCUUUCUGGUGUUUUCUGUAUGGGAUACAGUCUAGAGUUUGGUAUUGCAUUUUGUUGUCAAGUCUCGUUAGCCCCUUUAAUCUGGAAUAUUCCCUGUGGUACUGCUUCUUCUGGAGCCUCUUUCUCCUGCUGCCUCAAGCUAACAUUUUUUUUUAAACAUUUUGGUCUCCGGGCCCCUUUACACUCUUAAAAAUUACUGAGGACCCCAAAGAAACUUUAGUUUCAUGGGUUAUAUUUAUCAAUAUUUACAUUAGAAACUAAAACUGAGAAAUUUAAAAAAUAUUUUAAUUCACUUAAAAUACCAAUAGUAAACCCUUUACAUAUUAACAUAAAUAACAUACUUUUAUGAAAAAAUAACUAUUUUCUAGAACAACAAAAAAAUCUUUAAUGAAAAAAGCAGCAUCGUGUUACAUUUUUGCAAUUGUUUUUCAUGUCUGGCUUAAUAGAAAACAGCUGGAUUCUCAUUUCUGUGUGUUUUCUAUCUGUUGCAGUAAGUUGUUUUGGCUGAAAUAUGUGGAGAAAAUCCAGCCAAACCCAGAUACGUAGUUGGAAAGGGGAGGCAUAUUUUAAUAGCAUUUUCAGAAAAUUGGGAUAGUCUUUGAUACCGCACCACAAUUUGAUAUAUGAAAGUUUCUUAAAAGCUAGUUGCAAUGUGAAAUCUGAAAUCGUAUUAAUGAAUAUUUCAUAUUAUCUUAUAUUAAAAUCAUUUGGUCUAUCUUGUA